rnacentral:rRNA from 1 species
UACGAAGGGGCUAGCGUUGCUCGGAAUGACUGGGCGUAAAGGGCGCGUAGGCGGCGAUCACAGUCAGAUGUGAAAUUCCUGGGCUUAACCUGGGGCUGCAUUUGAUACGUGGUUGCUUGAGUGGGGAAGAGGGUCGUGGAAUUCCCAGUGUAGAGGUGAAAUUCGUAGAUAUUGGGAAGAACACCGGUGGCGAAGGCGGCGACCUGGUCCUUGACUGACGCUGAGGCGCGAAAGCGUGGGAGCAAACAGG